rnacentral:rRNA from 1 species
GCUUCCAGCCAUACCACCCUGAACAUACCCAGUCGUGUCUGAGCUUGGAAGCUAAGCUGGGUUGGUCCUGGUUAGUGUUUGGAGGUCGCUCGUGCAGCUGUGGGCU